rnacentral:rRNA from 1 species
AACGAACGCUGGCGGCAUGCCUAACACAUGCAAGUCGAACGAGACCUUCGGGUCUAGUGGCGCACGGGUGCGUAACGCGGGGGAACCUGCCCUUAGGUUCGGAAUAACUCUCCGACAGGGGUGCUAAUACCGGAUAAUGUCUUCUGACCAAAGAUAGAUCGACCUUGGAUGGGCCCGCGUUGGUUUAGCUUGUUGGUAGUGUAAAAGCCUACCAAGGCGUAGCUCCAUAGCUGGGCAGAGAGGAAGAGCAGCGACACUGAGGGUGGGACCCGGCCGAGAAUACUACGGGAGGGAGGAGAGGGGGAUAUUGGAAAAUGGGGGAAGGCAUGAAGCAGCUAGGCCGGUUGAGUGCUGAAGUCCGGAGGGAUGUAAAGCUGUUUUAUACGGGAUGAUAAUGACGGUACCGGGAGAAUAAGCACCGGCUAACUUCGUG